AUGCGAAGUUCCCAGCAGAGAGGUGAGCUACUCUUUAAUAUUGAGGCCUCUCUAACGAUUUAUUUCUAUAUUCUUCGCAAAUUUAUUUGCCGAAUCGUAGGAUGCCCAAAUAUAUUUGAUUCUUGGUUCAUCUGUAAAAUCGGCUAUAUCUCU
rfam:Lupinus angustifolius cultivar Tanjil contig_35495, whole genome shotgun sequence.